rnacentral:rRNA from 1 species
UUAGGAAUAUUGGGCAAUGGAGGGAACUCUGACCCAGCAACGCCGCGUGAAGGAAGAAGGUUUUCGGAUUGUAAACUUCUGAUCUGUGGAAAAAAGAAAGUGAUGGUACCACAGGAGCAAGCCACGGCUAACUACGUGCCAGCAGCCGCGGUAAUACGUAGGUGGCGAGCGUUGUCCGGAAUGACUGGGCGUAAAGGGAGCGUAGGUGGUUGUUUAAGUUAAAUGUGAAAGACCGUGGCUCAACUACGGAACUGCAUUUAAUACUGGACGACUAGAGUACAGGAGGGGUAAUUGGAAUUCCUAGUGUAGCGGUUAAAUGCGUAGAUAUUAGGAGGAACACCAGAGGCGAAGGCGGAUUACUGGACUGCAACUGACACUGAGGCUCGAAAGCGUGGGGAUCAAACAGG